AAAAAAUGGGGUGGCAGGCAGAUUCAAACAUCCAGCUGCAUUUUGGAUCAGGCAUCUAAAGAACAACCCAGAGCAAUCAUUUUCUGCUUCCUGUCCACACGCUUUUUGCAUAUUUCUUGUAAUUAGCUGCCCGCCUGGCCCGUUCUCACAGCACUCAUGCUCCGGGUGUCUCGUGAGCACUGAAUGGCGGUCACCUUCUUCUCUGAGACUCAGCCUGAUGCGCGUCUUCUAAGCCCCACCAGGCUCCACUCUGGCACCGGGAGGAGGAGACAAACCAACAGUGUCUCCUCGCCUGGACUCCUUGGCAGGAGGCAGCCUGCUCCCCGGGGAGGGUGAGGACAGGGCCUGGGAACUGGGUGACCUCCACUCCCCGACGUGGGCUGAGUGAGUCACACCCAGACCUGCCGUUGCUUCUCCUAGCUGGGUCUGGCAAGCCCGACAAACAGGCAGUUUGCCUUUUGAUGUGUCCAGACACAGGAGUGAUUCAGCCUGGCCCUCUCUGGAGGGAGCAGGGAGAAGCUCUGGAGGGCAGGCAGCCUUUGUGAGGUCUCUGCUCCACAAACUCAGGAUGAGGGCUCCUCAGUCACUCGCCCCCUCUCUUUCCCUGAAAGAACUGGAGGAUGAAUCACCGGCUUGAAGGAGCCUGUUCUUUCCUUCCUAAUAAACAGAAUUCAAGCCUCCAAGCCCUACUAAACAUGCCCUCUGACACGGCCUGUCUCCACACAGCCGGAAGGCAUCGGAUGGCAAGGAGCGUGGUUUGCCCAGGUAAACACACUUUCCUUGUCAACUGCAGGCUGUUUUCCACACGGGGGUUCUAAACCUGGGAGGUGGUUGAGGCGAGAUCUGUGAUCUCUCGAAAGACCAUCGCCAUCUGGGUGGAUGUGUGUGUGCGCGGAUUUUUGGGGACAAGGUUCACAGCUGGGAGCUUGUGUUUCUUAAGUUUGUGCUCGGAGCCAGGCACUGUCCUCAGCACGCAUUUAACCCUCCCGACUCACUCAGGAGCUGCUGCUGCUAUUUUCCUUAUCCCCACCUUGCGAAUCUCAAAUUAACCAACCGAUAACACCAACCAACAGCCACGAGUCAGACCCCGGACGCUGGAUCCGGCACAAACAGAAGCGGCCAGAAGUCGGGCAAGGAGUUGACUAGAGCCACGUGGGACAGAAGCUCCGACCGGGAAUCGAGCUACCGUGACCGUCCCGCGAGAUGCCUGUGCGCCGCUGGGUCCGGGAGUGUGUGUCUGUGUGUAUGGGUGUGUAUGUGUCCAACUGGUCACCCACACGUUCUUCAGUGAAAACUCACAUUUCUAUCCCUCGUUCUUCAAUUAUAAUGUAUCUUUCCAAAACAGUUUGAAGCAUAGAAACUAGCUUAGCAUUUCUUUGAUAGAUGUCGUCUGCUUAAUGACUUUAUUGAUGAGUGUUUUAAAGUAAACACAUUUGUUCACCAAAGAGGAAAAACAAUAAUCUGGGGAAACUGCCUCGCCUUAAAUGAAGGACUGAACCUGAAACAGAAAUCCACAGGUUUAUGACUCACCUCUGACUCACUCUCCCAGUCUGCUCGGAAA